CUUCUGCGCGGCGUCGUGACUUCUGCUCGGGCGAAAGAGGCGGCGGAGCUAAGUUUCCUUUCUCCGGCGGCCGGCGAAGGCUUUCUUCCGACAAACCUUGCCGAUUUUGAUCCCCUUCGUCGAGGAGAAGGUGAAGACGUAGAGGAAUCACCGAGAUCUUCACCUCACCCGGAAUCCUAGAGUCUUCCUCCUUCCUUCGGCUGUAAGUCCAAGAAAGCGAUAUAAAGGAAAAGCUAAAGUAUGAAAGGAAGGUGACAAGGUGGUGGUGAUGAAGGUGUGUGAUGGCUGAACUAUGGAGAGAUCAAGAGUUUGGUAAGGAGUUGUCAAAACUUAUCUGUUUAGAGUUUCCUUUUUCUUUUCUCCUUAAUGCUAUGAUGAAGUUGAGAUUGUAAUUGGGUCUAUUCCGCACUUGUAGCUUGUUAUGUCUAUUGUUUGAGUUA